rnacentral:rRNA from 1 species
AGAGGUGCUAAUACCGCAUGAUAUCGAGAGGGCUCUGGCCUUUUCGAUUAACGGUUGGGAUCUUCGGACCAACCGCUCGAGGAUGGGCCCGCGGCUGAUUAGCUAGUUGGUGGGGUAAUGGCCUACCAAGGCGACGAUCAGUAGCCGGCCUGAGAGGGCGAUCGGCCACACUGGAACUGAGACACGGUCCAGACUCCUACGGGAGGCAGCAGUGAGGAAUUUUGGACAAUGGGCGAAAGCCUGAUCCAGCAACGCCGCGUGGACGAUGAAGGUCUUCGGAUCGUAAAGUCCUGUCGAGUGGGAAGAAUUGCAGAGGGGUUAAUAGCCUUUCUGCCUGACUGUACCACCAGAGGAAGCCCCGGCUAACUCCGUGCCAGCAGCCGCGGUAAUACGGAGGGGGGUUCGGAAUUAUUGGGCGUAAAGGGCGCGUA